AAUUCAUCUCCNGGGGUAGAGCACUGUUUCGGCAAGGGGGUCAUCCCGACUUACCAACCCGAUGCAAACUGCGAAUACCGGAGAAUGUUAUCACGGGAGACACACGGCGGGUGCUAACGUCCGUCGUGAAGAGGGAAACAACCCAGACCGCCAGCUAAGGUCCCAAAGUCAUGGUUAAGUGGGAAACGAUGUGGGAAGGCCCAGACAGCCAGGAUGUUGGCUUAGAAGCAGCCAUCAUUUAAAGAAAGCGUAAUAGCUCACUGGUCGAGUCGGCCUGCGCGGAAGAUGUAACGGGGCUAAACCAUGCACCGAAGCUGCGGCAGCGACACUAUGUGUUGUUGGGUAGGGGAGCGUUCUGUAAGCCUGCGAAGGUGUGCUGUGAGGCAUGCUGGAGGUAUCAGAAGUGCGAAUGCUGACAUAAGUAACGAUAAAGCGGGUGAAAAGCCCGCUCGCCGGAAGACCAAGGGUUCCUGUCCAACGUUAAUCGGGGCAGGGUGAGUCGACCCCUAAGGCGAGGCCGAAAGGCGUAGUCGAUGGGAAACAGGUUAAUAUUCCUGUACUUGGUGUUACUGCGAAGGGGGGACGGAGAAGGCUAUGUUGGCCGGGCGACGGUUGUCCCGGUUUAAGCGUGUAGGCUGAUUUUCCAGGCAAAUCCGGAAAAUCAAGGCUGAGGCGUGAUGACGAGGCACUACGGUGCUGAAGCAACAAAUGCCCUGCUUCCAGGAAAAGCCUCUAAGCAUCAGGUAACAUCAAAUCGUACCCCAAACCGACACAGGUGGUCAGGUAGAGAAUACCAAGGCGCUUGAGAGAACUCGGGUGAAGGAACUAGGCAAAAUGGUGCCGUAACUUCGGGAGAAGGCACGCUGAUAUGUAGGUGAAGCGACUUGCUCGUGGAGCUGAAAUCAGUCGAAGAUACCAGCUGGCUGCAACUGUUUAUUAAAAACACAGCACUGUGCAAACACGAAAGUGGACGUAUACGGUGUGACGCCUGCCCGGUGCCGGAAGGUUAA
rnacentral:rRNA from 1 species